AAAAAGCAAUGUCUUCUCCAGCAGAAGAAAACGACGUCGUUUGUUUUUCUUCAACUAUUUCAACAUUUCUCUGAAAUUUUGAAUAUCGAAUUCGCGCUAAACGUUAACCUAUCCAAUCCCAGUAACCUCCUUCUCUCUCUCUCUCUCUCUCUCUCUCACAGUUUUCUCUCUCUAGGAUUUGGUGGGUUUCCAUGGCAACAACGUGAAAAAUGUCGCCGGUAAAGAAGCUCUUCGUCCAGUUCUUUGAGAGGAAGAAGUCGAUCGUCGACCAUGCCAAUCUCUUCGAUUGCCGCCUCGCCUCCAAACUCCAUUUCGAGGGAAUUCCUCCUCUUCCCUGGCUUUGAUUUGGUGUGUUUUUUUUUGGCUGUUCUGCUCCAGUUUCUUUUGAUGUGCGACAUGUUACUUGAACUGUGUGUUUUGGCAUUCAGACGAGGGCUUUAUCGGAGUUUCAAUUCUUAAUUAAGUUAACGAACAAACAGUGGCUAGGGUUUCUAUCCGUCCCACUUUAUGCGUAUAAUUGUGUAAUUGAGACCGUUUCUUAUUUCUUAUUUCCCUGAAUGGUUGAUUAGAAAACGGUUAAAGGCACGAUUAAGUUGGAAACUUUUUUUUUUUUUUUUUUUUUGGGUUCUGAAAGAGUAAAUAAAUUGUUCUUCCCUUUUAUGUGAGUGGUUUGAGCUAUAGUAUGCUAAACUUUUGUUGAUUGAUCUGUAUAAUAUUUAUCAUAGAUAUUUAACUAUGACGAAAACCUGAACCCUAAUUAAACACCAGCUAUGAUAUCUUUUAUGUUGCAAAAAUGAUGUCUCUGUCGUUUUGGCUACUUAAUGGAACCAAAUAUUGAUUUUUUUAUUAAUUGCAGAGUAGAAUGCUAGAAGAGCUCAUUUCAAGAGUAUGUUAUUGUCAACUGCAUCCACCACCUGGAGAUGAGAACGUCAGUUUUCCCACAGCACCCUAUCAAAGAUGCUGGAUGUGCCCCAAGACCCCUAUUCCUUCAUCUGAACUGUGCUUUAUGUUCCCUGAAGGUCAGAGAGUUGAGGAUCCUCGGAUUAUCUCUCCUGAAGAUCAGAGAGAUGCAAGAAUCUCAGAUACUAACCUAUGAGCCAGCUUUAUCAUUGGCUAGGAUUCAAAGAUCUGAGGUCAAGGCAGAAGGCCCUUAAGCUCUGAAACAGUGCAAAAGCUUCUAAAUGCCGUUGGCAGCAUGAGAACAAUGCUAGUAGUAAUGCUAGUGGUGGUGCGUUAGAUUCUUCAAUUUUUUCCUUUCGGUCUGACCAACUUUUUCGAUUGAACUUAGUCAAACCUCUUGAUAGUGAUAAUGAAACUUGUGCAGUGAAAGAUGUAAAAGUAGGUGACUGUUUGAGUUGUGAAAAAGAUGCUGCAGUUCACUCUAGUAAAGUAGCCCCAAAGUCAUUCUAUGAUUGUUAUAUGCUUGUAAAUCCCUAGCAACUUAAAUUUUUAUGAUGUGGAAGAGUCUGGUGUUGUAAAUCUCUUCCUCUUAGAAAUGACACACAGGGCAGGUUAUCAGAAAAAAGACCUCGUACCUUGUUGGAACGUGCAGAUGUAUUGGAUAAAGUAAUUUCUGUCAAAGAAGAUGUAAUCCACACUAUGAACAAUGAUUCUAUGAGUAAAGGCUUGUUAAGUGAAGACUGAAGAACAUAGUCCAAAGGCUGUCUUGGAAUCUCAAAAGGUUUUGAUUUCUGACGAAGAUUUUGCACAACCAAUUAUCUGUGGCAAUCAGUUGAAAUGCAUCAAACUGAGGAACCAAACGUGAUAAUGGGUUCUGAAUUGUCACCAAAGCUGCAAAUUGGAGAGAGCUUCUUCAGCUUAAAAGGUGAGGAGAUAAGUGCAAAUGCGCCAUUUACUUUUAUACAUGAAGAAUUGAGAGCAUAACUGGUCACAAGUUUGUUCAGACAGGCUCGAGGUAAUUUGAUGGACGAUGCAAGGGCUGUAGGUUCAACUAGUUUUUUCUUUGAUGCAGAAACAAAUGUGCUACUGAAUAGAACCGUGUUUCAUUUCAUCUCCAAUAUCAAUUGGUAUAGUAAAUGCUGAAUC